UCUUUUUUGCUUAAAUUGCUUUUUCUUCGACGCACCCCUUUCUUCAUCCUCAUUUGCACUCAAGUCUCUUGGCCUUCUUCGUUUCUUCAUCGUUCUUGCUCUGUUUCGCUCUUCUCCUCAUUUGCACUCAAAUCUCUGUUUCGCUCUUGCUCCCCUUCCUUCAUCCUCAUUUGCACUAAAAUCUCUUGGCCUUCGUCGUCUCCCACCACUCUUGCUCGCUCUUCUCCUCAUUUGCACUCAGAUCUCUGUUUCGUCCUUGCUCCACUUCCUUCAUUCUCAUCUGAUCUCAAGUCUCUUGGCCUUCUUCGUCUCCCAUCGUUCUUGCUCUGUUUCGCUCUUCUACUCAUUUGCACUCAAAUCUCUGUUUCGUCCUUGCUCCCCUUCCUUCAUCCUCAUCUGCACUCAAGUCUCUUGGCCUUCUUCGUCUCCCAUCGCUCUUGCUCUGUUUCGCUCUUCUCCUCCGCUCAACCGUUCUUCUUCCUCCUCGGCUUCUUCUUCUUCUUCUUGUUCAUUAUCUGCUGCUCUUUUUCAUCACUCUCUCUCUCUCUCUGUUUUCGCGCUCUUUGUUUCUAGGACAAAAAAUCAAAGAAAAAUGUCUAUCGAUUCUGCCGUUUCAAUCGCGUGGGAUGUCGUCAAGAUCGUGUUUGUUCCCAUCAAGCAUCGAUUCGAAUACGUCAUGUGCUCCAAGAGAUACGACAACGGUCUUCGGAAGGAAGUUGAGAAUCUGAACUACGAGGCUGAUAGGGUCCGCAGUGCCGCAGAAGACGCCACAAACAAUCUUCAGAAUACCCACGAAUGGGUCGAAAAGUUUCUGGCUAGUGCUGAGAAGGCCUUGAGCGAGGCGGGAGAUCUGUUGGAUAAAUUCGAAAAGAUGAGCAAGACUUGCUGCCAUGGGACUCUUCCCGACCCCAUUUGUCGCUAUCAGUUCAGCAGACAGGCCAAGCACAAGACCGAUGACAUUAAGAAUCUCAUUCUAGAAAACAAAGACAGGGAGAUCUCCUUCAGCCAUCCUGGUCCGGGUAACGUCGCUGCUUCAACUCUAGCCUGGAGGGAAGGCAAAGAUGUCGUCCAGUCGACCACCGUGACGGCCUUCGCAUCUUCUGCCUCGACAUCAAUUAAGCUUAGGGAGGAUGGCGUCUUCGAAUCCAGAUCUUCUGUCAUACAGAAGAUCAUGGAUGCUCUCGCCGUUGACACGAACAGCAUGGUCGGGGUUCACGGGUUAGGCGGGGUCGGCAAGUCCACCCUUUUGGCAGAUGUCGAAAGGAGAAUAAGGGAAGAAAAUAUGUUUUAUCCGGUCGCUAAGGCCGACGUGACGCAAAAUCCGGACAUCAAGACGAUUCAAGAAGAGAUUGCGCGCUGUUUGGGCCUUAGUGACAUAAAGAAGGAAGAAAAUGUCAAAUUGCGAGCGAAGCUUCUGCGCGAGAGGUUGGAAAAUGAGGAAAGGAAGAAGAGUAAGGUCCUCAUAAUAUUGGACGACCUGUGGGAGCAGCUCGACUUGAAAUUAGUCGGCAUUCCUUGCGGACCUGACAACAAAGUUAUAGGAUGCAAGUUGUUGUUGACGGCGAGAGAACAACGUGUUUUGCGAAGGGAAAUGCUCUGUGACAUUGCCUUCCGCCUUGGUGGCCUGGACGACGAAGAGGCAAAAAUAUUGUUUGAGACGACGGUGGGAGGCAAAGUUCGAGUUGAGUUAGAACCCUUGGUGGGGGAAGCACUCCGCAUAUGUGCAGGUUUGCCUUUCCUAAUUCUCGCGAUAGCAAGACUUUUUAUAGACACUAGUUACUCUGAAUGUGAAAAUGCUUUGAAACAAAUUUGGGACGAAGAAACCGGUGAGGUGAUUGAUAAGACAUUACGAGUAAGUUAUGACCGUAUAAAAUGCGAGGAGGCAAAGUCAUUGUUGCAACUUUGUGCUGUUUAUGGUGUCUCUAAGCCCUCUCUUGAAAAUUUGGUGAGGCAUGGCGUGGGUUUGGGGUUAUUUGGAGAAGAUAAUAGCAUGGAAUAUGCUAGAAAUAGGUUGAGCAUACUGAUUGAUACUCUUCAAGCCUCCUCCCUGUUGUUACACAGUGGAGAAGAUGAUGGUUUCAAAAUACAUGACUUGGUUCGUAUGUUUGUUGCUUCGAUCAUUUCAAGAGAUCACCCUCUUCUCGUGUUGAAAGAUGAGUCAGUUGCAGAGUUGCCGAAGGACAAGCUCAAAAGUUGUGGGGCGAUAUGCUUUCCCAACGUUGACUUGGAGCAACUUCCCGAAGAAUUAGAUUGCCCCGAUUUGCAAAUCUUUUUGUUGUUCACAAACAAGAAUUCUUUUGAGGUCCCAUUUUCAUAUUUCAACUUUAUGAGAAAUCUCAUGGUCUUAAAUCUUACUGGGAUACAUCUCAGUCGUUCGCCUUUGCCGUUUCAAUUCUUGGAGAAGUUACACACUCUGUGUCUUGAUCAUUGUUUGUUAGAGGACGUGGCCAUUCUUGGCGAGCUAAAAGAGCUGCAAAUUCUCAGCAUUCAAUACUCAAACAUUGAUCGAUUGCCAAAAGAAAUAGGGCAACUAACGAAGCUGAGGUUGUUAGACUUGAAUUAUUGUUCACGACUUGGGACAAUCGAACCAGGUGUGCUUGGAAGCCUGAUGAAAUUAGAGGAGUUGUAUAUGCAGAAUAGCUUUCACCAAUGGAAUGCUGCGGACCAAACUCCACCAACUAAUGCCAAUCUUAUAGAGUUGAAUAACAUGAAGAAUCUCUACACUCUACAUGUAUCCAUUCCCAAUCCGAGUGUGCUCCCAGAGGAUUUGAACGUCAAGAAAUUAACCAAGUACAGAAUCCGAAUAGGUAAUGCGUGGCGCUGGGAGUGCAAAGGAUCGAGUACAUUGGAGCUCCGGUUGGAUCCAUCAAGCGAUGUUCUUCGGAAAGAAUGCAUACAAAGUGUCUUAAGCAAAACUGACGAUCUGCUUUUGGAGGAGUUGAACGGAAGUCAGCAAAGUAUUUGCGCGUUAUCCCCAAAAGGUUUUCCAGAAUUAAAGCAUCUACAGGUCAAGAAUAGUUCCUCCAUCCGUUACAUCCUCCAAUCGCCAUCCCGUACAUAUUUUAAGGCGUUGGAGUCGUUACUUCUCAAGAAUCUCAUCAACUUGGAGAAGAUAUGCCACGGCCAUAUCUCCUCCAAAUCCUUUAGCACGUUAAAAGUAGUACGAGUCGAAAGUUGUGACAAGAUGGAAGUAUUGUUUCCUCUUUCAGUGGUGAGAGGACUUCCAGAGCUAGAAGAGAUCAAAGUUGUCGGUUGCAAGUUAAUGCGCGGCAUUGUAGAAGCUGAUGAUUGUGGCAAAGUGGAGUUGCAUAAUUUGCGUGUAUUGAAAUUGGAGGACUUGCCAAAUAUCAAGAACUUUUUCAACACAGGGUCGGCUCCUUCGUGUAGUACAUCAGACGACCAAGUUAGCACUCAAAUCGCAUUCUUCAAUGGGCAACAGGUUGCAUUUCCUAACUUGGAGACACUAGAUAUCAAAUCCAUGGACAGCAUUGAAAUGAUAUGGGACAAUCAAGUUGCUGCAGAUUCUUUCCCCAAUCUAAAAUCCCUUUGUGUAUACGAAUGCAAUAAGCUAAAGUGUGUAUGGGAUAAAGAACUCCACCGUCAAGUUAAAUUCCAGUGUCUACGUUCUUUUCACGUUUGCAGAUGCAAGAGCCUCACCUCUCUAUUUCCAGUCUCAGUAACUGGAGAUCUAAAGCAACUUGAGGAGUUGAAGAUUGAUGAAUGUGACAUUGCGGAACUCAUCGAGAAGGAAGAAGGACUAGUUCCCAGGUUUGUAUUCCCAAGUUUAACCUCCCUCGAGCUUAAGCAUCUGACAAAGUUGAAGUGCCUCUACACCGGAACACAUACUUCCCAUUGGCCAGCAUUGAAGACCUUGAAGGUGGACGGCUGCGACAAAGUGGAGAUAUUUGCUUCCCAAAUUGAGAAUGAGAUGACAUGUCAUAAACAACCUCUCUUCUUGAUAGAAAAGGGCGCAUUCCCUAAUCUCCAAGAGUUAAAACUUGAUUUAUCGAAACGGAUGGAGAUUUGGCAUGGGCAUUUUCAUGAUGAAGAAUUCGUCUGCAAGCUUAAAUUUCUUGAGCUUCGUCAUCUCUCCCAGGAGUCUUCAAUAUCCACAUCUCUUUUUAUUGAGAGCUUAACCAACUUGAAAAAGCUAGUUGUAUGUGACUCUUAUCUAGAAGACCCAAACAGCAAUGAGGACGCCAUAGAAGGCACGGGUCAUGAGCUAAAAGUAAUAUUACCCUUUUCAGGAUAUAGUCGACAUCUGCGAACUUUAGAUGUGUCACAUUGUGAUGGGUUAUCAAAUAUUUUCACAUUGACAAUAGCUAAAAAUUUGGUGGCACUCACAAAAUUGAGGAUAAGUAAUUGUAGAAUAUUGACAGAAGUCCUUGGUGAUGAGGAAGGUGAGGAGGGGCAUGUUGUGGCUUUCAAUCAAUUGAAGUAUAUGGAGCUUGAUGGGUUGAUAGAAUUGAGAUGUUUCAGCUCAAGUGGAUACAUUUUGAUGUUUCCUCUCUUAGAAGAUGUCAUUGUGAAUGGAUGUCCCAAAAUGAAGUUUUUCUCCAAGGGACCAAUAGAGGCGCCAAAGCUGGAGAGAGUACGAGUAAGUUUGAAGGGAUCGUAUGGACAAACAAAGCACCGGCAUUUUUGGAAGGGAAACCUCAACAUCACCAUCCAAAAUAUGUUUGAAGAAAUGGAUACAGUUGUUGGGGCUCAGUUUGUGCAGCUAUUUGAGUUCCCCAGGCUAAUUGGAAACUGGCACAGCGACCUUAAUCCCAUCAAGUCAUCUUGGCAAUUAGAAACCCUGGUGGUAGAUAAAUGUCCAUCAUUUAUUAAUGCUAUUCCAUCCAAAUUGAUGCUUGUUUUAGAGAAAAUGAGAAGCUUGCACGUGCGCGAGUGCGAGUCUAUGGAAGAAAUAUUCGAUCUCGAAGGGCUUGAAGAUAAGGAAAGCACUCGGGUGCUGCCUCGCUUAGAGAAUUUGGACUUGGCCAACCUACCAAAGUUGAGGCAACUGUGGAACAAAUGUCUUCAAGGAAAGAUGUGCUUUGAUUCUCUAAGUAAUUUGAUCCUUUAUAAAUGCAGCAACUUGAGACUUGCUUUCACUCCAUCGAUGGCUCGGUGCCUUGCCAAUCUUGAACGGAUGAAAGUAAAGGAGUGUGGUCAGAUGGAAGGAGUGAUUGUAGAGGAAGAAAGGCAGGGAAGCGCGGUGGAAAAGAUUACAUUCCCGAAGCUCCGGUGGAUGAAACUGGAAUGCUUGCCCAAUUUGACUACUUUCCUAUCGGGGAAGGGUCAUAUGCUAGAAUGCCCCCACUUAUAUGGCCUAACCAUUGCCCAUUGCCCCAAGAUGAGAAGUUUAACUUGGCAGUCUUCAAUGGAUAUUGACCAUGGCACCCCUUCGCUUUUCACUCCACAGGUACAAUUUCCUCAGCUUGGGUCGAUAGUUCUCUCCCACAUGGACAAUUUAAGCAAAAUAUGGACCGACGAUCCUCAAGAAACUCUCACUUUUGAACAUUUACGGGGAGUGCAAGCUCAAAACUGUAAGAGCCUUGAAAAUUUGUUUCUGCAUUGGGUGGCUACAAGUCUAACCCAACUUGAAAAACUUCGAGUGGAGUGUUGUGCAAUGGAGGAAAUAGUCGCCAGUAGAGAUGACACUCCACACUCCAAUGCUGCUCAAGUUCUUUUCCCGAAACUAUCCUCUUUGGUGUUACAUGAUAUGCCACGACUCAAGAGCUUCUUCCCUAACUUGCCCAAUUUGAAUUGGCCAUUCUUAGAGGAAUUGCGAGUCACUCAUUGUGACAAACUAGACAUCUUGUCUGUUGCGGCAUCCAUGAACAAGUGGAUUCAGAGAGACGAUCAACAGGACCUUUCGAAUCAAGAAGCACACUCUUCAAUUGAGAGGAUACGAGUGGGUAAGGGACUGGAAGGGGUGUGAUCUCAAUACAACAAUACAAAAGUUAUUGGCAUGAACAAAUAUGCACAUGAAAUUGGGUGGGGCAGGCGGUGCAAAUGAAGAGAGAGAGAGAGAGAGAGAGAGAGAGAGAGAGAGAGAGAGAGAGAGAGUCUAUCACUGAACCGUGUGGACUCCCACCAUUCUCUGAAGAUCAUCACAGUUUCUGGUCGCCAUCGUCAUUGUCGUGGCUGCAAUGAAGACAAAACUGUGACACCGGAGAUGGCACCGCCGAGACUGGACAGUCCUCUCCACUUCAUAAGAGAAUAUCAUGCGCUCUGUCUCUCUCCUGCAUCUGUAUCCGAUGAAUCGUAAUACCAAAGAGGUUCAUGAGAAAAUAUGUGAGAAUCUCUCAAAAGGGGUCACAAGAAAAUAUGGUGAGAAUCUCUCGAAAGGAUGCUUCUGAGAGUUUAGUGCAAUUAUUUGGCCUGUGAAAUUGGAAAAAUGUGAUGAGAUGGUUUGGCUAUCAAAUGGUUGGAACCGAGCCUCAGCGAUUGUGGAAUUGUCUUGCUAAAAGUGGAAGAUGCCGGUGAUUGCCGUGAUGUUUCGGUCAAGCUUUAAGUCUUUAGGGAUAAAUUGCAUUCAGCCAAGUGUCCUUGGCUUUAUAUGGCAAUGGAAUUUGAUCAGGUUUACGAAGUUCAUGGCGGUUCCUAUGCACAUUCAUCAGCACAGAGUUUGGGGAGGGACAGAAGUUCGAAUUGCUCAUCAUUAGAUUUUCCAGAGAGUUCCCGGUUCUUUCCCAAAGACGCACAUUAAGAAAAGCCCGCAGACCAUGGCUCUCACAUUUCAAGACAAAUUAUGGCCAUUGAAAGCUCAUCAGCCACGAACAUUAUGGAAAGUUAUCUGCCUGUUGGGCCGCAUUCAUGAGAGAAACUUCUCUGAAGGUGGAAGACGUGUGUUUUUUAGCUUUAUUAAAACGGACGAUAUUGUGUUCAGAGUAUCCAUCUUCAGAACCAUUGAUAAAACUUGGGUGAACAAUAUAAUAUGCAAUACAAUACAGCAAAGGAAGCAUCGCUUUAGCUCACUUUUGGUGAGAACAGAACUUACAGAAUUGCUAGGGUGAAUUCUGCUUCUGAUUUGGCAAAAUGGAUAAAAGCAUGAGUUUUGUUCUAAUGAAUGCAAUGGUCCUCCUGAAUGUGUAAGAUACCUUUCCUUGAUCCUAGACUUAAUAAUCACUAUGUGAGCAGGAGUCAUAAGUCAGAGGAAGCUGAUUUGCCAAUGUCGAUUCUAUAACUUCCGUCUCUGGAAAUUCUUUAGGGUUUCCGGUUGCUCAACCUGACCUCUAGAAGACCUUUAGAACUGUAAAGUGUAGUAAUGUCGAAUACACUUCCCUUAAGCCAUAUACUAGCUCUGAAUUUCGAGGCACAACCCAUGGCUUUAUGAGCUCUAGGGAACUUACCUCA